UACGUAGGGUGCAAGCGUUGUCCGGAAUUAUUGGGCGUAAAGAGCUCGUAGGCGGUUUGUCGCGUCUGCUGUGAAAACUCAGGGCUUAACCCUGAGCCUGCAGUGGGUACGGGCAGACUAGAGUGUGGUAGGGGAGAUCGGAAUUCCUGGUGUAGCGGUGGAAUGCGCAGAUAUCAGGAGGAACACCGGUGGCGAAGGCGGGAUCUCUGGGCCGUAACUGACGCUGAGGAGCGAAAGCGUGGGGAGCGAACAGG
rnacentral:rRNA from 1 species